GCCCAGAUGGCGGAAUUGGUAGACGCGCUAGACUCAAAAUCUGGUUCUCGCAAGGGAGUGCAGGUUCGAUUCCUGUUCUGGGCACCA
rnacentral:tRNA from 1 species